GAUGAACGCUGGCGGCGUGCCUAAUACAUGCAAGUCGAGCGAACGGACGAGAAGCUUGCUUCUCUGAUGUUAGCGGCGGACGGGUGAGUAACACGUGGAUAACCUACCUAUAAGACUGGGAUAACUUCGGGAAACCGGAGCUAAUACCGGAUAAUAUUUUGAACCGCAUGGUUCAAAAGUGAAAGACGGUUUUGCUGUCACUUAUAGAUGGAUCCGCGCUGCAUUAGCUAGUUGGUAAGGUAACGGCUUACCAAGGCAACGAUGCAUAGCCGACCUGAGAGGGUGAUCAGCCACACUGGAACUGAGACACGGUCCAGACUCCUACGGGAGGCAGCAGUAGGGAAUCUUCCGCAAUGGGCGAAAGCCUGACGGAGCAACGCCGCGUGAGUGAUGAAGGUCUUCGGAUCGUAAAACUCUGUUAUUAGGGAAGAACAUAUGUGUAAGUAACUGUGCACAUCUUGACGGUACCUAAUCAGAAAGCCACGGCUAACUACGUG
rnacentral:rRNA from 1 species